rnacentral:rRNA from 1 species
CUACGGGAGGCAGCAGUGGGGAAUAUUGGACAAUGGGCGCAAGCCUGAUCCAGCAAUGCCGCGUGGGUGAAGAAGGUCUUCGGAUCGUAAAGCCCUUUCGACAGGGACGAUGAUGACGGUACCUGUAGAAGAAGCCCCGGCUAACUUCGUGCCAGCAGCCGCGGUAAUACGAAGGGGGCUAGCGUUACUCGGAAUUACUGGGCGUAAAGGGCGCGUAGGCGGCUCUGUUAGUCAGGCGUGAAAUUCCUGGGCUUAACCUGGGGACUGCGCUUGAUACUGCAGGACUUGAGGCCGAGAGAGGGUGGUGGAAUUCCCAGUGUAGAGGUGAAAUUCGUAGAUAUUGGGAAGAACACCAGUGGCGAAGGCGACCACCUGGCUCGGUACUGACGCUGAGGCGCGAUAGCGUGGGGAGCAAACAGGAUUAGAUACCCCGGUAGUCCA